rnacentral:rRNA from 1 species
GAGAGGAUGAUCAGCCACACUGGGACUGAAACACGGCCCAGACUCCUACGGGAGGCAGCAGUAGGGAAUUUUGGGCAAUGGGGGAAACCCUGACCCAGCAACGCCGCGUGAGUGAAGAAGGCCUUUGGGUCGUAAAGCUCUGUCAGGUGAGAAGAAUAAAGCCCGUGUAACGGCGGGCCUCGACCAUCAUCAAAGGAAGCACCGGCUAACUCCGUGCCAGCAGCCGCGGUAAUACGGAGGGUGCAAGCGUUGUCCGGAAUUAUUGGGCGUAAAGGGCGUGUAGGCGGCCCAGCAAGUCUGAUGUGAAAGCCCCUGGCUCAACCAGGGAAGUGCAUUAGAAACUGCUGGGCUUGAGUACGGGAGAGGAAGGUGGAAUUCCCAGUGUAGCGGUGAAAUGCGUAGAUAUUGGGAGGAACACCGGUUGCGAAGGCGGCCUUCUGGACCGUCACUGACGCUGAGACGCGAAAGCGUGGGGAGCAAACAGGAUUAGAUACCCUGGUAGUCCACGCUGUAAACGGUGAGCACUAGGUGUUGGGGGUAUCGACCCCCCCAGUGCCGAAGUUAACACAUUAAGUGCUCCGCCUGGGAAGUACGGUCGCAAGAUUAAAACUCAAAUGAAUUGACGG